GAUUAGAGUUUGAUCCUGGCUCAGGAUGAACGCUAGCUACAGGCUUAACACAUGCAAGUCGAGGGGCAGCAUGAUCGAAGCUUGCUUUGAUUGAUGGCGACCGGCGCACGGGUGAGUAACGCGUAUCCAACCUUCCGGUUACUCGGGGAUAGGCUUUCGAAAGAAAGAUUAAUACCCGAUGUUGUAUUUAGAAGACAUCUGAAGAAUACCAAAGGUUUACCGCUAUAGGAUGGGGAUGCGUCUGAUUAGGUAGUAGGCGGGGUAACGGCCCACCUAGCCGACGAUCAGUAGGGGUUCUGAGAGGAAGGUCCCCCACAUUGGAACUGAGACACGGUCCAAACUCCUACGGGAGGCAGCAGUGAGGAAUAUUGGUCAAUGGACGGAAGUCUGAACCAGCCAAGUAGCGUGCAGGAUGACGGCCCUAUGGGUUGUAAACUGCUUUUAUAUAGGGAUAAAGUCGGGGACGUGUCCCCGUUUGUAGGUACUAUAUGAAUAAGGACCGGCUAAUUCCGUGCCAGCAGCCGCGGUAAUACGGAAGGUCCGGGCGUUAUCCCGGAUUUAUUGGGUUUAAAGGGAGCGCAGCUGAUGAUUAAGCGUGACGUGAAAUGUAGCCGCUCAACGGCUGAACUGCGUCGCGAACUGGGUUAUCCUGAGUGAGUUCGAUGUUGGCGGAAUUCGUGGUGUAGCGGUGAAAUGCUUAGAUAUCACGAAG
rnacentral:rRNA from 1 species